rnacentral:rRNA from 1 species
UACGUAGGGUGCGAGCGUUAAUCGGAAUUACUGGGCGUAAAGCGUGCGCAGGCGGCUUUGCAAGACAGAUGUGAAAAUCCCCGGGCUUAACCUGGGAACUGCAUUUGUGACUGCAUGGCUGGAGUGCGGCAGAGGGGGGAUGGAAUUCCGCGUGUAGCAGUGAAAUGCGUAGAUAUGCGGAGGAACACCGAUGGCGAAGGCAAUCCCCUGGGCCUGCACUGACGCUCAUGCAC